UCUCGGAGGUGGAAAUGGAGCGUUAUUACUGCCUGCUGCAAGCCGCCGCCCGCCUCCAGUCCAGCGUCGCCGAAACCACAGUUCCCAUUUGUGCGAAGGACAUCAGUGAUGAUUUGAGGAAAAAGUUUGCAUUUCUUUCUGGUGGCCGAGGGAAAGACAAUGGUUGGAUCAUCACGUUUCCUGAAAACUCCGAUUUCAAUGAAGCAUCAGAGGAGGUUCUAAUGAAAGUCUUAACAUACUUAACUUCAGUCCCAAGUCAACAUGAAUCUGACACACAAUUUAUCCUAAUCCUGGAUAGAAGAUUGGAUACAUGGAUGUCUGUCAAAAUGACUCUCCAAAGGAUAGCAGCCUCCUUCCCAGGGAACCUGCAGUUAGUGAUGGUUCUACGUCCCACUGGGUUUUUUCAGCGCACAUUCACCGACAUUGGAUUUCGCUUCAGUCAGGAGGAUUUUCUACUCAAAUUACCGGUGGUUAUGCUGAGCUCAGUCAGUGAUUUAUUGAUGUAUAUUGAUGAGAAGCAGUUAACCCCAGAAUUCGGGGGCACCUUGGAGUACCGUCAUAGCGAAUGGGUUAUCUUCAGAACUGCUAUCGAGAGUUUUGCACUAACAGUGAAAGAAAUUGCACAGAUGUUACAAUCUUUCGGCACAGAGCUGGCAGAAACAGAGCUACCAGAUGACAUGUAUUCAAUUGAGCGCAUACUGGCUUUGCGCACAGAAAAGUAUUGUCAGCUCAAGGGAGAUAUUACAGUAGUAACAAAAGAAGGAAACGUGCUGUUAAGUAGUUUAGAAGAGCCUGAUGCCAACAAAUGUAGUCAGAAACAACGCCAUGACAGACCUGGAGGCUGGGAAACUGUGAAUCGGUUACUUGCUCAGUUGCAUGAGAUGGAAACUGCUUUUGAUGGCUUCUGGGAAAAACAUCAACUAAAAAUGGAGCAGUAUUUACAACUGUUGAAGUUUGAGCAAAGUUUUCAAGAGCUGCAGAGUGCCAUUGCAUUUUUAAUGGGCCAACAAGCAGAACUGCCUGAUACUGGAGAUAGUGUGGCUCAAGUGAAACAAAGGCUCAAAGACUUGGGUAAUUUAGAUGGAAUGGCUCAGGACUUGGUAGGGAAAGCCCAGGUGGUGAUGUUACAUGGGCACCAGCUAGCAGCAAAUCAUCAUUAUGCGCUCAGCUUAAUCUGCCAGCAGUGCAAUGAGCUGCGGCACCAUUCUGACGUCCUGUCGGAGGAGAUCAAGAGGAAGCACGUACGACUCCGGAUGACCUUAGAUCUGCACACCCGCCUGCAGCAGGCCCUCGAGUGCUGUGAUGAAGGGGCUAAUCUUCUAGCUAAUCAGCCAAUGGAUAAAUUCCAGUCUAAAGAAGGUGCUCAGAAAGCUCUUCAGGAUAUAGACAAAUUUCUUGAAAGUUCUUUGCCGUACUUAAGCUAUGAUCCUCAAGUCCUGUGCUGUGACUUUGAAUCUGUUUUAACACCUGAAAUAAAGGCCCAGAUACAGGCAGUCUGGAUCAAGCUUGAAAACGUUCGAAGUAUGUUUGAGAAUCAGCAGACUUGCUUCAGAAAGCUUGUGGAUAAACAUGUGCGGCCUGUUCAGUUAGUAACCCCUCGACCAGAAAACCCACCAAGAUCGAAAUCUCCUUUAUUCUAUCCCAAACACGGCAUGGAUUUUAAUUCCAGUUUAAAGUUUUCAUUUGACAUCUCUCUCCCUGGGAAGAAAAUGUCAAGAAAAUCUCACAACUCUCGUAAGAUUGAAGUAAUGCAUGACUAUCAAGAAAAAAGGAAUUCCUUGCAGUCUUUUAUUUCUGAAAGUGAAGACAACUUAGAUAUACUAAAAGGCCAUGUCAUAAACGAGCUAAUAGAAACAGAGAGAGUGUACGUAGAGGAGCUGUUCACCGUUUUGAUGGGCUACAGGGCUGAAAUGGAUAAUCCAGCAAUGGUUAUUCUCAUGCCACCUGCCCUGAGAAACAGAGAGGAUGUUCUCUUUGGGAAUAUGCCAGAGAUAUAUGACUUCCAUAACAAAAUUUUCCUACACAAUCUGGAAAGCUGUGUUGGAGCCCCAGAGCGAGUGGGGCUUUGUUUCCUGGAAAGGCGAGAAGAUUUUCAGAUGUAUGAAAAAUAUUGUCAGAACAAACCCCGGUCGGAAUCUCUAUGGAGGCAGUGUUCAGAAAGCACCUUCUUCCGGGAAUGCCAAAGAAAAUUAGAACACAGACUUGGGCUGGAUUCCUAUUUGCUCAAACCAGUACAACGUUUGACAAAAUACCAGUUGCUUUUGAAGGAGUUGCUAAAAUACAGCACAAGCUGUGAUGGAGUUAAAGAGUUGCAAGAAGCUCUGGUUGCAAUGUUGGAUUUACUAAAAUCAGUCAAUGACUCUAUGCAUCAAAUUUCAAUAACAGGAUAUGAUGGGGACUUGAGUGAACUUGGAAAAGUAUUGAUGCAAGGAUCGUUCAGUGUUUGGGCAGGACACCGGAAAGGCCCUACAAAAAUGAAGGAUCUUGCCAGGUUCAAACCAAUGCAGAGACACCUGUUCCUGUAUGAGAAAGCCCUGGUGUUUUGUAAGAAGAGAGAGGAGCAUGGAGAUGGAUAUGAUAAAACCUCUUCAUACAGUUUUAAGCAUUUUUUGAAAAUGAAUGCAGUUGGAAUCACUGAAAACGUGAAAGGGGAUCAUCGAAAAUUUGAGAUCUGGUACAGCGGACGAGAAGAGGUGUAUGUUGUUCAGGCCCCAACAGUAGAUGUGAAGAUGGUGUGGUUAAGUGAAAUGAGAAAAAUUUUGUUCAAGCAGCAGGAGUUUAUAAAAGUUGAGAAGAAACCAUCCGUUUUGUUUACAGACCAGAUCCAACUUUCCCCUCAGCUGAGUGAUGGAAAGCAGCAUAGAGCCUCCAUAAGCUCAGAAGAAAAUGAUUCUGAACGCACCAGUCCUAUAAUGUUGGAUAGUAUCAGCUCAUCACCACAGAACAAGCCAAACCAAAGCUGGUCUAGAAUGUCUCAAUCUGUGGAAAUCUGUGAAGGGCUUGAGGACUGGUCCAGCAACAAUUACCUUUCUAAUUGCUCAGACACAGAAGAAGAAGAUGGGAGCCAGUUGUCUCCAGGAAGAUAUAAAGCCCUAGCAGACUGCAAAAAAAGAGGCUCGGAGGACCUGCUGGUUAAAAACGGGGAUGUAAUUGAACUUCUGCACGAGGACAGGGAAGGGCAAUGGUUGGUGAAAAAUCUGAACAGAAGAAAAGAAGGCUGGAUUCCGGUCAACAGUUUGCAGAUAGUAAUUGGCGACUGUAGGUUUCGGAAUGCCAAAGUCGCAGGUAUCAUACGAUAAACAUAUAUGAAAUAUUUUCAGGACUGGAAUCAGAUUUUUAUAAACCAUGGCUUGCAUUUUAUUUUGGGUAUCGGAUUUGGCUAUAUAAAACUCAACAGAAAAAAACAGUUAAUCGUAUGAAAACAAUUGCUCCCAAGAGCUUACAAAAGUAGUACAUAUGAAGCUGCUGCUCUAUUUUGUUGAUAUUUUGAGAAUUUGUUGUGAUUUUUAAGAUGAAGGCACUCGUAAAAUAAUGCCAAAUAUUUAAAAAUGUAGAUAUUGCAAAAGCACUUGGUACUGUAUGAUGGGCAAAGAGAUGGAGUCUAGCCAUUAAGGGAUUUCCAUGGCUGGUUUGUCUACACAUUGCUGCAAGUUUGGUCCCCUGUGUAAAUAUAAUAUCACCUAGGCAAAAUCAUGUCACUCUCUAAAAAGAUAUUCAUGCCUGAUCCAAAAUCCUUUGAAGGGAGUCUUUCCAUUUACUUCACUGGACUUUGGACCAGCCCGUAUACAGCUUUGUUAGGCCUCACUAUUUUAUUCACAGCUGACUACUGGCUUACUGGUUAAAGUUUGUUGAUAAUAGACUGGGUUUCUGUGAAAGACUCCUAGAUUCUAAAAUGUAUUUUCCCCCAUGAUCAUUCUUGGUAUCCAGAUCUAGAGGGGAGACCGAUGUUACAAGAAAACACCUUUACAACCACUUGUCAUUCCUACACAUUUUGUCUUACUAUCCAGGUAUAACGUCGUNGUGAAUUCCCAUGCUGCAG